rnacentral:rRNA from 1 species
AUUGAGCACGUAGGUGGGUUUGUAAGUCAGACGUGAAAGCCUCCUGUUCAACGGGAGAAUUGCAUCUGAAACUACUGAUCUUGAGUGUAGGAGGGGAGAAUGGAACUUCUGGUGGAGCGGUGAAAUGCGUAGAUAUCAGAAGGAACGCCGGCGGCGAAAGCGAUUCUCUGGCCUAUUACUGACACUCAGUGUGCGAAAGCUAGGGGAGCAAACGGGAUUAGAUACCCCGGUAGUCCUAGCCGUAAACGAUGGGCACUAAGUAGAGGGG